GACGGAGGGUGCAAGCGUUGUUCGGAUUGACUGGGCGUAAAGGGCGUGUAGGCGGUUGGUCAAGUCCGAUGUGAAAGCCCGGGGCUCAGCUUCGGAAGUGCAUCGGAAACUAGCCAGCUGGAGCGCGAUAGAGGAGGGCGGAAUUCCUGGUGUAGCGGUGAGAUGCGUAGAUAUCAGGAGGAACACCGGCGGCGAAGGCGGCCCUCUGGAUCGUUGCUGACGCUGAGACGCGAAAGCGUGGGGAGCAAACAGG
rnacentral:rRNA from 1 species